rnacentral:rRNA from 1 species
UGGGGAAUUUUGCGCAAUGGGCGAAAGCCUGACGCAGCAACGCCGCGUGGAGGAUGAAGGUCCUCGGAUCGUAAACUCCUGUCAGUGGGGACGAAAGCCCGCAAGGGUUUGACUGUACCCGCUGAGGAAGCCACGGCUAACUCCGUGCCAGCAGCCGCGGUAAUACGGAGGUGGCAAGCGUUGUUCGGAAUUACUGGGCGUAAAGGGCGCGUAGGCGGCAUUGCAAGUCAGAUGUGAAAGCCCCGGGCUUAACUCGGGAAUUGCAUCUGAAACUGCUUUGCUUGAGUCCUGGAGGGGGUAGUGGAAUUCCCAGUGUAGCGGUGAAAUGCGUAGAUAUUGGGAGGAACACCGGUGGCGAAGGCGGCUACCUGGACAGUGACUGACGCUGAUGCGCGAAAGCUAGGGUAGCAAACGGG